AUACUCUGGUUUCUCUUCAGAUCGUAUAAAUCUUUCGCCUUUUACUAAAGAUUUCCGUGGAGAGGAACAAUUCUGAGUCUUAAGCUAAUUUUUUGAGGCCUUGCUUUCGCGAGGCU
ensembl:snRNA U5 U5 spliceosomal RNA